AGUCGAACGGCAGCACGGGGGCAACCCUGGUGGCGAGUGGCGAACGGGUGAGUAAUACAUCGGAACGUGUCCUGUAGUGGGGGAUAGCCCGGCGAAAGCCGGAUUAAUACCGCAUACGCUCUACGGAGGAAAGGGGGGGAUCUUAGGACCUCUCGCUACAGGGGCGGCCGAUGGCAGAUUAGCUAGUUGGUGGGGUAAAGGCCUACCAAGGCGACGAUCUGUAGCUGGUCUGAGAGGACGACCAGCCACACUGGGACUGAGACACGGCCCAGACUCCUACGGGAGGCAGCAGUGGGGAAUUUUGGACAAUGGGCGCAAGCCUGAUCCAGCAAUGCCGCGUGUGUGAAGAAGGCCUUCGGGUUGUAAAGCACUUUUGUCCGGAAAGAAAACUUCCUGGUUAAUACCCGGGGAGGAUGACGGUACCGGAAGAAUAAGCACCGGCUAACUACGUGCCAGCAGCCGCGGUAAUACGUAGGGUGCAAGCGUUAAUCGGAAUUACUGGGCGUAAAGCGUGCGCAGGCGGUCCGCUAAGACAGAUGUGAAAUCCCCGGGCUUAACCUGGGAACUGCAUUUGUGACUGGCGGGCUAGAGUAUGGCAGAGGGGGGUAGAAUUCCACGUGUAGCAGUGAAAUGCGUAGAGAUGUGGAGGAAUACCGAUGGCGAAGGCAGCCCCCUGGGCCAAUACUGACGCUCAUGCACGAAAGCGUGGGGAGCAAACAGGAUUAGAUACCCUGGUAGUCCACGCCCUAAACGAUGUCAACUAGUUGUCGGGUCUUCAUUGACUUGGUAACGAAGCUAACGCGUGAAGUUGACCGCCUGGGGAGUACGGUCGCAGA
rnacentral:rRNA from 1 species